rfam:Chlorocebus sabaeus isolate 1994-021 chromosome 16, whole genome shotgun sequence.
CAGUGCAGUCACCCAUAAAGUAGAAAGCACUACUAACAGCACUGGAGGGUGUAGUGUUUCCUACUUUAUGGAUGAGUGUACUGU